GGGAUUAGAUGUAAUAGACAGAUCUUUCAUCUGUGCCAUCACACCAAAUGUCAUAAUUGUAGAUGCUUCAUAAAUAUGAGGUAUUCACAUACAGUAAAUGUAGUCAAUAGGAAGAGUCAACCAUCUCUGGACAAUUACUGUUCUAAGUUUCAGUUAGAGAAAUUUCAGGGAAACGACUACUUUUGUAUUGAUAUUUCUCAAUUAUUCACAUCAGAAACACUUUGUGAUAAAGUGUCCAUCAAGCAUUCCAAAAUAUUCCAUGUAUUGAGAAGACUGGAAUAUACAAUGCUGAAGUUAUCCCAUAGGAUGUUUGAUUUCAAAAGUAAAUAAUGAGCCUCAAUUUCUUUCACAUAGCUUCUGGUAUCGCUACAUGUUCAUGUGUGAAAAAGAAUUAACAAGUCGGGCUACAAUUCAAAAUGAAUUGACCUAGCACAGGUCAGUAAUGACCUAUAGCUGCAAAACUGAUGGACUUGUUUUUUUAAUCUUGUGUGAAUUAAUUCUUAUAAACAGUAAAACUGUGAGGAAGGAAAAUAAAAAUAUUUCUAAAAGAAAUUCAAAAUCCUUGAAAAUGUGUUAGUUUCACAAGAAUUUUUCAAAGGUACCAAAAUGUACCAUUUUAACACUUUCCCUUACAUUGCUUGUCAGAAUUCUUGCUCUUGUUAAUCUAGUCUAAAAUCUGUGCAACAAAAACAAACUGUUAAGAUAUGAAAGAUGUUUUUUGAAUUCUUUUCCUUGAUGAAUGUACUUAGAGAUGCUCCAUUAAAUUUAAAAACAUCCUAUAAAAAUUCUGCAAAUUCAAAAUCCGUAAUAAAAAUCCUUCACUAAAUUUAUUCUCCCUCCAUGUCAAGUUUCUACAUUUCUCCCUUUUCAAAUGUGAUUUUAUCUUAUUUAGUCUCAUUGAUUUCAACAUCAUUUCUAUAGAAGUUUGAAAAUACUAAGAUGCAUAGUCUGUCAGAUUUACAGUAAUUUAAAUAAUGGUUUCCAUACAUUAUUUUAGAUAAUAUGUGAUUAGUGCAAUUUUUUUCUGACCAAAAAUGUCAAACAAUUGCACUUAUCUAUGACUUUUCAAUGUCAAACAAUUUUACUCACACCGAUACCCUUUACUGAAUCCCAAUAACUAAUUAUGACAAAAUCACCUCUGCCUACAUCUCUGACAAUAAUUAGCUGUUCAAUUUUUUUGCUUUGUUCAGCUUCAGAAGCAGAAAUCAAUUAUUGUCAUGCUUUAGAAUAAUAGAGGCUGUGAGAAUGUAGCAUUUUCUUCCAAAGACUCAUAAAUAAAGACAACAUAGUUUAGUUUCUCCCUGAUAAACUGAACACAUUCAGUAUCUGCUCCAAAGACUACUUUCUUCACAGCAGCAUCAUGUUAUAAGAUCUUUUGUGUAUUUUCUUGAACGUUAUUGAUGAAACUUCUAGUAAGAUGCAUUAUAUAGUAUUAUACCACAUCAUUGUAGUAGUAUCUCAUUCAAUUAUUUGUAUACCAUGACCCCCGCUUUUUUUCCUUUGCACUAGCCAGCUGGAAUUCUCUUCCUUAUAUGAGUAAGCAUGAUCUGUGUUCCUGUCUUCUAGACAGACUUGUGUUUGUCAUAUGGAAAUCAUGGUUUGUUUUAGUGAACUCAGCUUUAGCAGUGACCCAGUUAUUUCUGUGUGACUGCCCUGUAUGGUUCAUUGUUUUAUGCUCCGUCAAUCUUUGUGCUAAAUCUGCAUAUUUUGUCAGCAAUGAUUUUAUAUUUGCUUCUAUGCCACUGAUAGAAAUAUUGCCAGAUCUAUUAUUGUUCACUUCAGAAUUUCAACAAAAAUGUCCUCAUUCAAUGCUAGGGAAUAUAUCAGGCUGGCAUUACUAAGCUAUAAAUGGGUCUUUUAUUAUCAUGGUCCUUUCCUGUACUAAGUUAACUGCUAAAAAUGAGACUACUCUUUUUAACAAAAGAUAAAAUGAAGCAAGAAAACCUACCACUGGUAUUCUUUACAAAGAGCAAACAAUCAAAUCAAGUACCUAA